ACACUCUUUCUGAUGGUAACUUUCACUUUUACUUUAUCUUUAAAAAAAUCUCGGGGGGGGGGGGGGUUUAAAAAAAAAUCUCUUUCUGAAAAUCUGUCUCCAUAUAGUUACAUAUCUUUUCACAGAAUUACAUUCUCCACACAGCUACUACAUACCUUCACACUUCUUUACACCACCACAUCUCUCUUCACACAGUUACAUUCUCCGUACAGCCAUAUACUUCUUCUACAUAGCUAUACAUAUUAUCUACACAGCUCUCUUACCAUACAGCCACAUCUAUUCCUUCAUACACAUCUCUCUACCCCCCCCCCUCAUAUAGCUACAUCUCUUUCUCAGCAUGUGCGCACGCACACCCACACCCCCACACAAACAUACACACUUCAGCAGGCAAGCUCUGCACAAGUCAGACCCAUUCUCAUAACACAUGGUAAGUCACACAGUUUUCUCAGGCUAGGUAGGUCACUUUGACCAGCCAGUGAGUAACACUUUUGGCCAGUCAGUAACACUUGGCUGUGCACAUAGCCUGAGUGGUUAGCACUCCCAGAGAGUGAUAUGGAAAUUCAAGACCUAAGCAACUAAACAAUUAGUUGGCUGAACCUUGAGCUUUAUAUCAUUGGGAAUACAUGCAGAAAGCCAACUACUGCAGGAAAGGUAUGUCUUAAUGUUGUCAGCCUGACUUUGGUUUAACAGACACUUGGGAACUUGGCCUUGAGCAAAUCAUCUCCAGGGAUAACUUAGUCUAUUUUGGAUUUGCUCUAAAGUCUAAAAUCAGCUAAAUGUGUAAAAAGCUGUCUUUUGUAGCUGAGAAUACUGUUGCUUUCCUAUGUCAGUUAGGAAAAAUAUCCUAGUAUUCUUUCUAUUCAUCAGAUUUAUACAGCUUAAGGAGAAAUCAUUUUCCUGACCAUCCACAGCCAUAUGUGCCCAAAAGAUUGAUAUGUAAUCAUGAGAUUACAUAUACACAUCAUAUGAGAUUACAUAUUAUAGUGCAGGUAUUGGGGAGAUACCAGAGCUGUUUUUCCACAUGUGAAAUUACAGACAGAAACAACAGUGUUCAAAGUCUAUGGCCCUGUAAGUUUUGCUUGAACAGGGUUCCUCCAUCAGAGGAUUAUUCUUCUGGUGGGUUGACACCUGAACUAUCAAUUGCCAUCUGCUGUAUACUCCCAAGGCCUCCAGCACAAGGGCCUGCAACAGGAGAGCUUAUUUGGUUGAACUAGAGCCAAGUUGCUGGGUCAUAGCCAAUGUCCACAGCAGGAAAGAACAAUUAGCAACUUGAAGCAAUUUUGUGUUUACAGUCAUUCAGCAAGCAAAGUUCUGUGUAAAUAGGUCCCCUUGCCGCCCUUCUCACCCCAGAGCUGGGAGAGGAACUGGACACUCAAGCUGAGCAGCUCCGGGUGGGAAUCAGCUGCAGCCUGGCUAUAACCAACUCCCAACUUCCUAGAGUUUCCUUGGCUCUUCGAUCCGUUUCCCAGCUCCGAGGCCUCCCCGGCUUCCCUAGCUCUCGGGCGCCUGCCGGUGAGGUGGCAAGAGCAGCUCAGCAGCCGCCCCCCUGAGCUGAGCACAGGUGGUGCGCAGGGUUCCUUCCAAGCCUACCCCAGACCACCCCGGCUCCGCCUCCGCGCAACACCUCCGCGGGGUUCCAGCAUCAGGCCAUGGUGCGCUGCUUUUGGAGACAACCUUGGGGCUCAAUGGUCACCCCCUGCCCUCCUCCAGUCUUCAUCGCUCUCCUGGCUCAGGCCCGUGGCGCGGCCCCAAGUCCCCAUCCCAGGCCCCUCCGGUCGCGCCAGGCGGCGGCGCUUAUCUGGGUCGCGGAGCGGGGUGUCUGGCACCGUCCUGCAGGUAGUAGAUGAAAUCUUGGCAGCUGUCGUGCUCCAGGGCCCUUCGGGCACAGAGCUCGGCCAGCAGCUGCAGACCAGGCCAGCGGCUGGUCACAGAGAGCGUCUCAUGCCCCGGGCAUGCCCCACACCCAUGCCCCCCCGCCCCUCGUCCCCCGCAUCCUCGGACCGCGCCAGGUAGGCGGGCUCAGGAGAAAGCCCUCCGCCCACUACUCGCGGCCGCCCAGGGCGGGGUCCCGGUCAGGAUUGCGCGCUGAGGACAAGGGAUCGCCUGCUGUCUCAAAGCAGACAAGCCAGCGGGGGGUGACGGGAACAGGGGCACUUGCCCGCCACAGGAGAGCCUGAUUAUGCUCAGGACCCCAAGCUGCGAGUGAUAGUGCCCGGGCUCAGGCAAUGGGAGCUGGUAGGCGUGCCAGAACCUCUUGGCACCCCAUUCUUCCGCCCAGAGGCAAACCUAGCAUGCCCACCCACCCCCACUCCCAUCCCUGCCUCUGGAGGCUCGCAUGGGUCCAAUGCACGUUCUUGGGUGUAUGAAGUGAAGGCUUGGAGAUGGACCACACCUGCUGAGAUCUCAGUACCUUCUUCGAACUUGGAAAGCAGGAUCUAAGCAGAAACCUCGGGCCUAAGGACAUCACGCGCCCAAUUGCGAGGUUUCCAGCGAAGAUUUGCCACAAAAGAAUGGAUGCCCAGCGUGGGUUGAUUUGGAGAAGGUGGAGAUCUUACUCCCCAUCAAGAUCCUGCUGUCAUCAUUUCCUGAAGUCUGCAUCAAGGGCCUGUUCCAAUAUGAACUGGCUUGUCAACCAACUACAACACUGUCUAGCAGACACAUGGUAUAAACAGCUGGGCUCAGAAUCUCCAAUCUCUCUUGAGGUAUCUGGACUGCCUCCUGU